rnacentral:rRNA from 1 species
UACGUAGGGCGCAAGCGUUGUCCGGAAUUAUUGGGCGUAAAGAGCUCGUAGGCGGCUUGUCACGUCGGAUGUGAAAGCCCGGGGCUUAACUCCGGGUCUGCAUUCGAUACGGGCUAGCUAGAGUGUGGUAGGGGAGAUCGGAAUUCCUGGUGUAGCGGUGAAAUGCGCAGAUAUCAGGAGGAACACCGGUGGCGAAGGCGGAUCUCUGGGCCGAUACUGACGCUGAGGAGCGAAAGCGUGGGGAGCGAACAGG